rnacentral:rRNA from 1 species
UACGGGGGGGCAAGCGUUGUUCGGAAUUACUGGGCGUAAAGGGCUCGUAGGCGGCCAACUAAGUCAGACGUGAAAUCCCUCGGCUUAACCGGGAACUGCGUCUGAUACUGGAUGGCUUGAGUUUGGGAGAGGGAUGCGGAAUUCCAGGUGUAGCGGUGAAAUGCGUAGAUAUCUGGAGGAACACCGGUGGCGAAGGCGGCAUCCUGGACCAUCACUGACGCUGAGGCACGAAAGCGUGGGUAGCAAACAGG